rnacentral:rRNA from 1 species
AGAAUCAACGCUGGCGGCGUGCCUAACACAUGCAAGUCGAACGCGAAAGCCCCGCAAGGGGUGAGUAGAGUGGCAAACGGGUGAGUAACACGUGGGUGACCUGCCUUAGAGUGGGGGAUAACGUCCCGAAAGGGACGCUAAUACCGCAUAACAUCCUGCCUUUGAAGAGGUGGAGAUCAAAGCCGGGGACCGCAAGGCCUGGCGCUUCAAGAGGGGCCCGCGCCUGAUUAGCUAGUUGGUGAGGUAAUGGCUCACCAAGGCAACGAUCAGUA